GCUCCCUUCGUCUAGCGGCCCAGGACAUCGCCCUCUCACGGCGGGAACACGGGUUCGAACCCCGUAGGGAGCG
rnacentral:tRNA from 1 species